CAGGCCUACACAUGCAAGUCGAACGAGUCCACUCCUUCGGGAGUGAGGCGAGUGGCGACGGGUGAGCUACACGUGAGCAACCUAUCUUCGUACGGGGGACAACCCGGGGAAACCCGGGCUAAUACCGCAUGGUCGGGGCACUCGCAUGGGAGCCCGGGAAAGAUGGCCUCUGAUUCAAGCUGUCGUGCGGAGAGGGGCUCGCGGCUAUCAGCUUGUUGGUGGGGUAACGGCCCACCAAGGCGACGACGGCUAGGGGUCUGAGAGGACGACAAUCGAAUUCCCGCGGCC
rnacentral:rRNA from 1 species